CUGCCCUUUGAGACGGGGAUAAACCCGGGAAACUGGGUAUAAUACCCGAUAGAUCUCGGCUGCUGGAAUGCACCGAGUUCUAAAGCUCCGGCGCUCAAGGAUGGAUCUGCGGCCUAUCAGGUAGUAGUGGGUGUAGCGUACCUACUAGCCUACGACGGGUACGGGUUGUGAGAGCAAGAGCCCGGAGAUGGAUUCUGAGACACGAAUCCAGGCCCUACGGGGUGCAGCAGGCGCGAAAACUUUACAAUGCUGGAAACAGCGAUAAGGGGACCUCGAGUGCCAGGUUACAAAUCUGGCUGUCGUGAUGCCUAAAAAGCAUUGCAUAGCAAGGGCCGGGCAAGACCGGUGCCAGCCGCCGCGGUAACACCGGCGGCUCGAGUGGUAACCGUUAUUAUUGGGUCUAAAGGGUCUGUAGCCGGCCGGAUAAGUCUCUUGGGAAAUCUGGCAGCUUAACUGUCAGGCUUUCAGGAGAUACUGUCUGGCUCGAGGCCGGGAGAGGUGAGAGGUACUUCAGGGGUAGGGGUGAAAUCUUGUAAUCCUUGAAGGACCACCAGUGGCGAAGGCGUCUCACCAGAACGGACCUGACGGCAAGGGACGAAAGCUAGGGGCACGAACCGGAUUAGAUACCCGGGUAGUCCUAGCCGUAAACGAUACUCGCUAGGUGUCGGCCACGGUGCGACCGUUGUCGGUGCCGUAGGGAAGCCGUGAAGCGAGCCACCUGGGAAGUACGGCCGCAAGGCUGAAACUUAAAGGAAUUGGCGGGGGAACACCACAACGGGUGGAGCUUGCGGUUUAAUUGGAUUCAACGCCGGAAAUCUUACCGGGACCGACAGCAAUAUGAAGGCCAGGCUGAAGACUUUGCCGGAUUAGCU
rnacentral:rRNA from 1 species